rnacentral:lncRNA from 1 species
UCCGGGCGAAAUUUUUUUUAUUAAACACUUGCUAAAGAAUAAAUACAUUUUAAACAGUAGCUAAAGAGUAAAGACAUUUCUAAUUAGUGGCUAACUGUGUAUUUCUCCGCCAAAACGCCAAACUCACCUCGGCUAGUCUUCACCAAUAGCCUCUAAACAACUUAUAACAAAAUGGCAACAAUAUGGUUAACAUGUCAGAGACAAUAACCAGGGGACGAAAUGCAAUAGGGUAAUAGAAUUUCAACUUGUACAAAUUACAGUCUAGAGGCUUCACAGUACAUAUAUAUAUAUAUAUAUAUAUAUAUAUAUAUAUAUAUAUACUUAUAUAUAUAUAUAUCAAACCUGUUCAACUACACAAUGGAUAAACGUAAAAAAAAAUGCAUUCCAAAAAAAUUACAUGAUAGACAACAAGAAAGGCAACAUCCUUCUACACAUUACGAUUCCCAAUCUGUUUCAGCAUCACACAG